AAACAUGUCUUUUUGAAAAUAAUAUAAAGUCUAAUCUGCUCAAUGAUAUAAAUUAAAUAGCCGCAGUAUAUUAACUGUGCAAAGGUAGCAUAAUCAAUAGUUUUUUAAUUGAAAGCUGGAAUGAAUGAUUUAAUGAAAUAUAAAUUGUCUCAAAUUUAUUAAAUUUAGAAUUUUUUUUUUAGUUAAAAUACUAAAAUUUUUUUAAAAGACGAGAAGACCCUGUAGAUUUUUAUAAUUAAAUUAAUUAUAUAAAUUAUAAUUAAUUUAAUUAUUUGAUUGGGGAAAUUAUUAAAUUUAAGAAAUUUUAAUUAUUUUAAACAAAAAUUUUUGAUUAUUUGAUCUUAAUUAUAAAUUAAUAGAAUAAAAUACCUCAGGGAUAACAGCGUAAUUUUUUUAGAGAGAUCCUAUUAAUAGAAAAGUUUGCGACCUCGAUGUUGAAUUAAGAUUUAAUUUUAAUGUAGAAGUUAAAAAUUUUUARYCUGUUCGACUAUUA
rnacentral:rRNA from 1 species